rnacentral:rRNA from 1 species
GGUUAAGCGACUAAGCGUACACGGUGGAUGCCCUGGCAGUCAGAGGCGAUGAAGGACGUGCUAAUCUGCGAUAAGCGUCGGUGAGGUGAUAUGAACCGUUAUAACCGGCGAUUUCCGAAUGGGGAAACCCAGUGUGUUUCGACACACUAUCAUUAACUGAAUCCAUAGGUUAAUGAGGCGAACCGGGGGAACUGAAACAUCUAAGUACCCCGAGGAAAAGAAAUCAACCGAGAUUCCCCCAGUAGCGGCGAGCGAACGGGGAGGAGCCCAGAGCCUGAAUCAGUGUGUGUGUUAGUGGAAGCGUCUGGAAAGGCGUGCGAUACAGGGUGACAGCCCCGUACACAAAAAUGCACAUAUUGUGAGCUCGAUGAGUAGGGCGGGACACGUGGUAUCCUGUCUGAAUAUGGGGGGACCAUCCUCCAAGGCUAAAUACUCCUGACUGACCGAUAGUGAACCAGUACCGUGAGGGAAAGGCGAAAAGAACCCCGGCGAGGGGAGUGAAAAAGAACCUGAAACCGUGUACGUACAAGCAGUGGGAGCCUCUUAAUGGGGUGACUGCGUACCUUUUGUAUAAUGGGUCAGCGACUUAUAUUCUGUAGCAAGGUUAACCGAAUAGGGGAGCCGAAGGGAAACCGAGUCUUAACUGGGCGUUAAGUUGCAGGGUAUAGACCCGAAACCCGGUGAUCUAGCCAUGGGCAGGUUGAAGGUUGGGUAACACUAACUGGAGGACCGAACCGACUAAUGUUGAAAAAUUAGCGGAUGACUUGUGGCUGGGGGUGAAAGGCCAAUCAAACCGGGAGAUAGCUGGUUCUCCCCGAAAGCUAUUUAGGUAGCGCCUCGUGAAUUCAUCUCCGGGGGUAGAGCACUGUUUCGGCAAGGGGGUCAUCCCGACUUACCAACCCGAUGCAAACUGCGAAUACCGGAGAAUGUUAUCACGGGAGACACACGGCGGGUGCUAACGUCCGUCGUGAAGAGGGAAACAACCCAGACCGCCAGCUAAGGUCCCAAAGUCAUGGUUAAGUGGGAAACGAUGUGGGAAGGCCCAGACAGCCAGGAUGUUGGCUUAGAAGCAGCCAUCAUUUAAAGAAAGCGUAAUAGCUCACUGGUCGAGUCGGCCUGCGCGGAAGAUGUAACGGGGCUAAACCAUGCACCGAAGCUGCGGCAGCGACACUAUGUGUUGUUGGGUAGGGGAGCGUUCUGUAAGCCUGUGAAGGUGGCCUGUGAGGGUUGCUGGAGGUAUCAGAAGUGCGAAUGCUGACAUAAGUAACGAUAAAGCGGGUGAAAAGCCCGCUCGCCGGAAGACCAAGGGUUCCUGUCCAACGUUAAUCGGGGCAGGGUGAGUCGACCCCUAAGGCGAGGCCGAAAGGCGUAGUCGAUGGGAAACAGGUUAAUAUUCCUGUACUUGGUGUUACUGCGAAGGGGGGACGGAGAAGGCUAUGUUGGCCGGGCGACGGUUGUCCCGGUUUAAGCGUGUAGGCUGGUUUUCCAGGCAAAUCC